GAAACUUGGAAUCUAUAGUAUGACCGUGUGGAGCAGGUGAGUGGUGCCUGGAGUAAAGUUAAUCGGGUUAUUGGUUUCAAUUGGCGCUUCUAUGUGCGAUCUUGAAUCGUAGCCCUCCACCUAAUCGCAAUUAAUUAUAGCCGUUGAAGAGAAACUCGUCCUUUGGAGCUCUGUUUCUGACAGGCGUGGAAGGGACUGACAGGCGAUUGUACACUAUUCCCUCGAUUGUACAGAGUACACUGGAGUGACCGGGGGACGGUUGUGUGGAGAGGUAUUCUAAAUGUCAUGUAGUUCUAAUUUCUAACCCUAGCUCCUCACAUUUUCUGAUAAUCUCUCUUUGCGUUCUACUCGGCGGCGCGUUUUUCCUCUUCCAUUUCUCUCCUGAUCAGCGAAAAAGUUUUCUUCCUCAACUCCAUCAUGUCGAACGCUAGUGGUGAUAGGAAAGGGAAGGCACCGGCGAGGUCUCCACUCUCCAAGAUAAGGUGAGUAUCCUAUUCUUAAGUCUUGCUUUGCUAUUCUAUUUCUCUUCCUUUCCACUCCCAUUCGAUUUUUUUUUUAAAUCUUAUCAUUGUAUUCUUGCUUGACCUUCAUCGUUUUAUUUCCAUAUAGUAAUAGCCAGUUAUUUCCUAUUAUAUC
rnacentral:lncRNA from 1 species